rnacentral:tmRNA from 1 species
GGAUGAUUCGUUGGCCUCGUUAAAAUCGCGGAUCAAAAACAUAAAUGUGAACUCUAACGAGCUCGCUCUCGCGGCUUAAGCCCCGCGACGUCACGCAGGCGAUGUCUGGUAGCCUGCCUGACGACACUACCAGGCUGGUUGGAUCACCGGGCGACCGGGUGACCAACGAGACAAAACAGGACGCUGGGUGAAUGGCAGGCUGUCUCAAGCCGGCCACCACUGAGACCAAAGAUGAGACUGAGCAUGGAGACGCUACGGGUAACGGGUAUUCGGACAGGGGUUCAACUCCCCUCGCCUCCACCA